AGGGAGGCCUUCAAUGACAAUCCUAGCUCCGUGUUCUUUCGCUCCUAUAUUUGAAAUGUCCAAAUCAAUCUAAAGUGGUGCUCGGAAAUGUUCAGACUACUUAAAUGGAUGCUUAAGAUACUAUGUAAUGAAGACAAUCCAAGAAAAUCUACUGGCCAAGUGAUGCAUCAGGAGGAUUUGUCUAACUUGAGCAUAAUGUGAGUCAUUAAUAAAGAAAAGUCAUCUCUGUUAA